rnacentral:tRNA from 1 species
GCCGGAGUGGCGGAAUUGGCAGACGCGGUGGAUUCAAAAUCCACUUGGGUAAAACCAGUGCGGGUUCGAGUCCCGCCUCCGGCA